rnacentral:rRNA from 1 species
GGGGUUCUGAGAGGAAGGUCCCCCACAUUGGAACUGAGACACGGUCCAAACUCCUACGGGAGGCAGCAGUGAGGAAUAUUGGUCAAUGGACGAGAGUCUGAACCAGCCAAGUAGCGUGCAGGAAGACGGCCCUAUGGGUUGUAAACUGCUUUUAUAAGGGAAUAAAGUGAGAGUCGUGACUCUUUUUGCAUGUACCUUAUGAAUAAGGACCGGCUAAUUCCGUGCCAGCAGCCGCGGUAAUACGGAAGGUCCGGGCGUUAUCCGGAUUUAUUGGGUUUAAAGGGAGCGUAGGCCGGAGAUUAAGCGUGUUGUGAAAUGUAGACGCUCAACGUCUGCACUGCAGCGCGAACUGGUUUCCUUGAGUACGCACAAAGUGGGCGGAAUUCGUGGUGUAGCGGUGAAAUGCUUAGAUAUCACGAAGAACUCCGAUUGCGAAGGCAGCUCACUGGAGCGCAACUGACGCUGAAGCUCGAAAGUGCGGGUAUCGAACAGGAUUAGAUACCCUGGUAGUCCGCACGGUAAACGAUGGAUGCCCGCUGUUGGUCUGAAUAGGUCAGCGGCCAAGCGAAAGCAUUAAGCAUCCCACCUGGGGAGUACGCCGGCAACGGUGAAACUCAAAGGAAUUGACGGGGGCCCGCACAAGCGGAGGAACAUGUGGUUUAAUUCGAUGAUACGCGAGGAACCUUACCCGGGCUUGAAUUGCAGAGGGAGGAUUUGGAGACAAUGACGCCCUUCGGGGCCUCUGUGAAGGUGCUGCAUGGUUGUCGUCAGCUCGUGCCGUGAGGUGUCGGCUUAAGUGCCAUAACGAGCGCAACCCCUCUCCUUAGUUGCCAUCAGGUUAAGCUGGGCACUCUGGGGACACUGCCACCGUAAGGUGUGAGGAAGGUGGGGAUUACGUCAAAUCAGCACGGCCCUUACGUCCGGGGCUACACACGUGUUACAAUGGCAGGUACAGAGAGACGGUCCCUUGCAAAACGGAUCAAAUCCUUAAAGCCUGUCUCAGUUCGGACUGGGGUCUGCAACCCGACCCCACGAAGCUGGAUUCGCUAGUAAUCGCGCAUCAGCCAUGGCGCGGUGAAUACGUUCCCGGGCCUUGUACACACCGCCCGUCAAGCCAUGAAAGCCGGGGGCGCCUAAAGUCCGUGACCGUAAGGAGCAGCCUAGGGCGAAACUGGUAAUUGGGGCUAAGUCGUAACAAGGUA